CCCAGGCACCGGGGUGGCAGAUACGUGCUGAACCCCGCCAGGGCUGAGAGGCAGCAACGGUAGGUGCGUUCCUCUGGGUUCCCUGGUGCCUCAAGCG
rnacentral:SRP_RNA from 1 species